GAUGAACGCUGGCGGCGUGCCUAAUACAUGCAAGUCGAGCGAACGGACGAGAAGCUUGCUUCUCUGAUGUUAGCGGCGGACGGGUGAGUAACACGUGGAUAACCUACCUAUAAGACUGGGAUCACUUCGGGAAACCGGAGCUAAUACCGGAUAAUAUUUUGAACCGCAUGGUUCAAUAGUGAAAGACGGUCUUGCUGUCACUUAUAGAUGGAUUCGCGCUGCAUUAGCUAGUUGGUAAGGUAACGGCUUACCAAGGCAACGAUGCAUAGCCGACCUGAGGGCGGGAUCGGCCACAGUGGAGCUGAGAGGCGGUCCAGGCACCUACGGGAGGCAGCGGUAGGGAAGCGUCCGCAAUGGGCGAAAGCCUGACGGAGGAACGCCGCGUGAGUGAUGAAGGGCUUCGGGUCGUAAAACGCUGUUAUUGGGGAAGAACAUAUGUGUAAGUAACUGUGCACAUCUUGACGGUACCGAUACAGAAAGCCACGCCAACCUACGU
rnacentral:rRNA from 1 species